AUUUUGACUGCAAAGCUUCGUGUGUUUCUUUAUUACCAAACCACUUCACCGUGAGAUAAAAGUAGAUUAAAAUACCACCACAAACAUUAUUCAAAAAUCACAUUUUUUAUUUUCUUACAAGAAUUCAGUUAAUAAAACAUCUAAUCCCAAAGUGAUUGGAAAGCAACACUUCACAAAACAAGACCAAAGUACACACCUUACAAAUUAUCUAAGCAAUACCAGUAAUAAACAAGGUUAUCAUUUUGUGCAAAAUUAUAUUAAAUUUGGCUCCAUGCUCCCGAGUGGUGUGACGUGGUUUAAAGUGACUGCGCUGCAUGCCAAUAAGAAGUCAGUAGUGGUUUCUAAGAUAGCUGCGCCGCCUUGUGGUACAUCGUGGUAUUACAUGAAUGCUGCGCCACCCUGUGGUACAUCGUAGUAUUACAUCUAACCUACCAGUGGGCAUUUCUCCAUUCCACUCAGUCAGUCAGUAAUCUCACAUUCCUUCUGUAUAAGUGGAUACUCACACAGUACACAAUACAAAUCGACGUAUGAAAAUAGUGUGCGACCAGUGUCAUCUACCUAUGAAAACAAUCCUACCAUUUAAAAAGAAGUGUGUUAUAUCAAAAACAUAGGAUACCAUAGUGCAUCAGAUUGUACAAGAUUUGCAUCCAUCAUUGUGUUCGUCCAGAACUCUCUGCCAGAAGCAAAGGAAUUACCCCACAGUAUACAGCACAGUGAAAAACACAUGUUUAAAGUCAGUCAGACAUUUAGAUUGGAGUUGGUGAUUAGAAACAAGCAGUCCACAGACGUCAUCAUAUGGCUAUAGAUGGUUAAACAUGCAGAAGAGAAAGGCAAGUCUUAUUGUACCUAACACACUGUGCAGUUGUUCCUCUUUAAAAGGUCUCAGUCAGUUGUUCCUCUUUAAAAGGUCUCAGUCAGUUGCUCCUCUUUAAAAGGUCUCAGUCAGUUGUUCCUCUUUAAAGGUCUCAGUCAGUUGCUCCUCUUUAAAAGGUCUCAGUCAGUUGCUCCUCUUUAAAAGGUCUCAGUCAGUUGUUCCUCUUUAAAAGGUCUCAGUCAGUUGUUCCUCUUUAAAGAUCUCGGUCAGUUGCUCCUCUUUAAAAGGUCUCAGUCAGUUGCUCCUCUUUAAAAGGUCUCAGUCAGCUGUUCCUCUUUAAAAGGUCUCAGUCAGUUGUUCCUCUUUAAAAGGUCUCAGUCAGUUGUUCCUCUUUAAAAGGUCUCAGUCAGUUGUUCCUCUUUAAAAGGUCUCAGUCAGUUGUUCCUCUUUAAAAGGUCUCAGUCAGUUGUUCCUCUUUAAAAGGUCUCAGUCAGUUGCUCCUCUUUAAAAGGUCUCAGUCAGUUGUUCCUCUUUAAAAGGUCUCAGUCAGUUGCUCCUCUUUAAAAGGUCUCAGUCAGUUGUUCCUCUUUAAAAGGUCUCAGUCAGUUGCUCCUCUUUAAAGAUCUCGGUCAGUUGCUCCUCUUUAAAGGUCUCAGUCAGUUGCUCCUCUUUAAAAGGUCUCAGUCAGUUGUUCCUCUUUAAAAGGUCUCAGUCAGUUGUUCCUCUUUAAAAGGUCUCAGUCAGUUGUUCCUCUUUAAAAGGUCUCAGUCAGUUGCUCCUCUUUAAAAGGUCUCAGUCAGUACACUUAUCAGUGGUGGCUGGUGCCACCUUGAAUCUGAGGAGGGACUCAUAGUAAUGGCUGGAAUGAAUAGACAGGCAUCAAACACAUCUAGACUUGGUUUCUUCCCAGUGUUUGACUCCGUUCCAUCUAUUCCAUUCCAGCCAUUAUUAUGAGCCGUCCUCCCUUGACCAGCCUCCAAUGACUCUCUUGUACAUAGGGAGGCUAUCACUUUGUGUUUGCUGUUUGCUUAAAGGGAUAGUUCAUCCAAAUUACACUAUAACCUUUAAAUUCAGAGGGUUCCUGAGUUGUUGGAAUAGAGAUAUUGCUGCUUAAGGUUCUUUAUUCCUUAGCCCUCUGAUAUCUCUCUACUGUUCUAGAGCCCUCUGAUAGCUCUCUACUGUUCUAGAGCCCUCUGAUAUCCCGCUACUGUUCUAGAGUCCUCUGAUAUCUCGCUACAGUUCUAGAGCCCUCUGAUAUCUCGCUACUGUUCUAGAGCCCUCUGAUAUCUCGCUACUGUUCUAGAGCCCUCUGAUAUCUCGCUGCUGUUCUAGAGCCCUCUGAUAUCUCUCUACUGUUCUAGAGCCCUCUACUGUUCUAGAGCCCUCUGAUAUCUCACUACUGUUCUAGAGCCCUCUGAUAUCCCUCUACUGUUCUAGAGCCCUCUGAUAUCUCGCUACUGUUCUAGAGCCCUCUGAUAUCCCUCUACUGUUCUAGAGCCCUCUGAUAUCUCGCUACUGUUCUAGAGCCCUCUGAUAUCCCUCUACUGUUCUAGAGCCCUCUGAUAUCUCUCUACUGUUCUAGAGCCCUCUGAUAUCCCUCUACUGUUCUAGAGCCCUCUGAUAUCCCUCUACUGUUCUAGAGCCCUCUGAUAUCUCUCUACUGUUGUAGAGCCCUCUGAUAUCUCUCUACUGUUCUAGAGCCUUCUGAUAUCUUGCUACUGUUGUAGAGCCCUCUGAUAUCUCUCUACUGUUCUAGAGCCCUCUGAUAUCUCUCUACUGUUCUAGAGCCUUCUGAUAUCUCGCUACUGUUCUAGAGCCCCCUGAUGUCUCUCUACUGUUCUAGAGCCCUCUGAUAUCUCUCUACUGUUCUAGUGCCCUCUGAUGUCUCUCUACUGUUCUAGAGCCCUCUGAUAUCUCUCUACUGUUCUAGAGCCCUCUGAUAUCCUCUCUACUGUUCUAGAGCCCUCUGAUAUCCCUCUACUGUUCUAGAGCCCUCUGAUAUCUCUCUACUGUUGUAGAGCCCUCUGAUAUCUCUCUACUGUUCUAGAGCCUUCUGAUAUCUUGCUACUGUUGUAGAGCCCUCUGAUAUCCCUCUACUGUUCUAGAGCCCUCUGAUAUCUCUCUACUGUUGUAGAGCCCUCUGAUAUCGCUCUACUGUUCUAGAGCCUUCUGAUAUCUCGCUACUGUUCUAGAGCCCUCUGAUGUCUCUCUACUGUUCUAGUGCCCUCUGAUGUCUCUCUACUGUUCUAGAGCCCUCUGAUAUCUCUCUACUGUUCUAGAGCCCUCUGAUAUCUAUACUGUUCUAGAGCCAUCUGAUGUCCCUCUACUGUUAUAGAGCCCUCUGAUAUCUCUCUACUGUUGUAGAGCCCUCUGAUAUCUCUCUACUGUUGUAGAGCCCUCUGAUAUCUCUCUACUGUUCUAGAGCCCUCUGAUAUCUCUCUACUGUUCUAGAGCCUUCUGAUAUCUCUCUACUGUUCUAGAGCCCUCUGAUAUCUCUCUACUGUUCUAGAGCCCUCUGAUAUCUAUACUGUUCUAGAGCCAUCUGAUGUCCCUCUACUGUUCUAGAGCCCUCUGAUAUCUCUCUACUGUUGUAGAGCCCUCUGAUAUCUCUCUACUGUUCUAGAGCCCUCUGAUAUCCCUCUACUGUUCUAGAGCCAUCUGAUGUCUCUCUACUGUUCUAGAGCCCUCUGAUAUCUCUCUACUGUUCUAGAGCCCUCUGAUAUCCCUCUACUGUUCUAGAGCCAUCUGAUGUCCCUCUACUGUUCUAGAGCCCUCUGAUAUCUCUCUACUGUUCUAGAGCCCUCUGAUAUCUAUACUGUUCUAGAGCCAUCUGAUGUCCCUCUACUGUUCUAGAGCCCUCUGAUAUCUCUCUACUGUUCUAGAGCCCUCUGAUAUCUCUCUACUGUUCUAGAGCCCUCUGAUAUCUCUCUACUG
ensembl:lncRNA